rnacentral:misc_RNA from 1 species
UAUUCUCAACCUCCCCAGUUGGUAUCAACUGGUUUGGUAGGCUUGGAUGUGGAGGUCUUUGCUGGCUCCUUUUCAGGUUGUCAGCUCCUCUGAAAUACAUUAGCUGGACAGUUUGCAAUCCGUUAACUGGUGUGAUAAAUAUCUACGCCUGUAGGGAUUGCUCUCUGCUUGUCCCGCUACUAACAGUUUCCCAAUGAGGGAAAUAUGAUGAAU